rnacentral:lncRNA from 1 species
UCCAACCUACUCAAGUCAAAUCGAUCUAACUACGCUCAAAUUACUCCCCCUUUUUGUCACAAAGGGCCAAAGAGCGCCAAAAAAAAUCACAAGAAAAAUAAGCUAAGAAGCAGCAUCCGCAGCAUCUGAAGAAUCAGAGCCACUCUCAGCACUCGUGCUGGCCUCCAAAUGAUCUCGAAUCCAGCGCAGCUGACGCUGACAAACAGCAAGAGCACGGCGAAA